rnacentral:rRNA from 1 species
UACGGGGGGAGCAAGCGUUGUUCGGAUUUACUGGGCGUAAAGGGCGCGUAGGCGGUCAGCACAAGUCAGUUGUGAAAUCUCCGGGCUUAACUCGGAAAGGUCAACUGAUACUGUGCGACUAGAGUGUGGUAGGGGAGAUCGGAAUUCCUGGUGUAGCGGUGAAAUGCGCAGAUAUCAGGAGGAACACCGGUGGCGAAGGCGGAUCUCUGGGCCAUUACUGACGCUGAGGAGCGAAAGCGUGGGGAGCGAACAGG